AGCUGGAAACUUUGCCUGCAAAUUUAAGAGUUCAUGAAUUUCAGUCAUUGUUUCUGGUAGU
ensembl:miRNA gmo-mir-725 gmo-mir-725